UGAUCGCAUUAUAGUUUCAUUUAGGGGCAACACAGAAUCUGAUUGGGACUUGGAAAUUAGAAAGUGUGCAGUCGGCCUAAUAUAUGCACGAAACAAUAAUCAAAGAAAGGAAGGGAUCAUAACUGGGCAAAACUUUUUUGACUUUGAUGGAGCAGACACUGGUGGAAGUAGCAGCCCUACUGAAGAACCACAACCUAAAAGCUUCAAAAAGAUUUGAGUUUUGUUCUGGUGGAAGCAGAAACUUUCGUUCAUUUCAAGCUCGUGUAUUUGAGCAACCUUUUGAGAGGCGC
rnacentral:misc_RNA from 1 species